rnacentral:rRNA from 1 species
UACGAACAGACUCUAUCCUACUAAGCGGCGAGGCCAAUAGACGGCAGGAUCUUUUCACGAAGCGAGUGUUUACGGACUCGAUGCAACGCGAGAGCGUGCCGAGGCUUAUGCGGGUGGGGUGUGUGUUCGCGUGCACUAUGGCUUCGUGCUUGUGUGUGAUCGCGUUCGCUCUCUCGCUCUCUAUACGCUUCGCCCUCUCGUGCGUCUUUUCCAGCUCGCAAGUCCGCCGUGGCUGCGCGUGAGUUCGGGAUACGUGUGAGUGUUUACUACCGAGGCGCAAGCCGAAGUACGUCUCGCACACACAAUUCUCGUUCUUGCGCGUAGACAAACGUUGUUUCUUCUUAGAGGUAUUGACGACUCUACACAAGUCGUACGAGAGAGAGAGCAAUAACAGGUCUGUGAUGCCCUUAGAUGCCCUGGGCCGCACGCGAGCUACAAUGCCGGGUACAGCGGGUAUAACUUCCUUCUCCGAAAGGAGCGGGUAACCCUCUGAAAGCCCUUCCGAUGCGCGUACACAAAAAUGUGCGUGCAUCUCGGCUCGCUUGGGCCUGGGGCUUGCAACUAUCUCCCACAAACGAGGAAUGCCUUGUAUUGACAGGUCACUGAGCUUGUAGCGACUCAGUCCCUGCCCUUUGUACACACCGCCCGUCGCUACUACCGAUUGAGUGUAUCAGUGAGAUUCUUGGACUGGCGAACCAUUUCCUACCGCCUCGCGCGGUUCGGAGACGGCGAACGACGGGAAGAGACUCGAACUGAUGCACUUAGAGGAAGUAAAA